rnacentral:rRNA from 1 species
GUCUCUUUGAUUUAAUUAUAUAAAGAGUUUGACCUGCCCAGUGAUAUAAUUUAACGGCCGCAGUAUCUUGACUGUGCAAAGGUAGCAUAAUAAUUUGCCUUAUAAUUGGUGGCUUGUAUGAACGGUUUAACGAAAGCAUUUCUGUCUCAAAUAUAUUUUCUGUAAUUUAUCUUUUAGGUUAAAAGACUUAAAUAAAACUAAAGGACGAGAAGACCCUAUCGAGCUUUAAAGAUUUUUGGGAAAAACUUAUUAUUAAAAUCUAUUUUCCCAAAAGGUUUUUUGGUUGGGGCGACCUAGGAACAAAUAAAACUUCCUUAAAUAAAUAAAUAAAUACAAGGAUCCAACAUUAAUGUUGAGAAAUGAAAUUAGUUACCGUAGGGAUAACAGCGUUAUUUUUUCUGAGAGAUCUUAUUAAAGAAAAAGUUUGCGACCUCGAUGUUGGAUUGAGAUAACUUAAAGGUGCAGAAGCUUUUGUAAGUUAGUCUGUUCGACUAUAAAAAUCUCACAU